CAGCAGCCGCGGUAAUACGAAGGGGGCUAGCGUUGCUCGGAAUGACUGGGCGUAAAGGGCGCGUAGGCGGCAUAUACAGUCAGGCGUGAAAUUCCCGGGCUUAACCUGGGGGCUGCGUUUGAUACGUAUGGGCUAGAGUGGGGAAGAGGGUCGUGGAAUUCCCAGUGUAGAGGUGAAAUUCGUAGAUAUUGGGAAGAACACCGGUGGCGAAGGCGGCGACCUGGUCCUUGACUGACGCUGAGGCGCGAAAGCGUGGGGAGCAAACAGGAUUAGAUACCCGGGUAGUCCCUGUCUCUUAUAC
rnacentral:rRNA from 1 species